rnacentral:rRNA from 1 species
GAUGAACGCUGACAGAAUGCUUAACACAUGCAAGUCGAUGGGGAAGUGGUGCUUGCACCAUGGCAACCAUGGCGGACGGGUGAGUAACGCGUAAGGGACUUACCUGCAGGCCUGGGAUAACAGGGGGAAACUCCUGACAAGACCGGAUAAUGUCAUGGAGCUGCAUGGCUUUAUGAUGAAAGGAGACGCCUGCGGAGAGCCUUGCGUCCUAUUAGCUAGUUGGUGAGGUAAUGGCUCACCAAGGCGAAGAUAGGUAGCCGGCCUGAGAGGGUGGACGGCCACAAGGGGACUGAGAUACGGCCCUUACUCCUACGGGAGGCAGCAGUGGGGAAUAUUGGGCAAUGGGGGCAACCCUGAUCCAGCAAUUCUGUGUGCACGAAGAAGGUUUUCGGAUUGUAAAGUGCUUUCAGCAGGGAAGAAGUAAGUGACGGUACCUGCAGAAGAAGCGACGGCUAAAUACGUG